rnacentral:telomerase_RNA from 14 species
GUCCAGCUGCGGGGAGAAAGUGUCGUUCUCUAACCCUAAUGCGAGGGCAAUGCGGGCCCUUUGUUUAAAGUCCCGUUGUCGCGCGAAGCGGGAGCCCUCGCUGUUUUCUUGGCUAACUUUCAGCGAUGGUGAAAGGGCCUAGCAAAGGUUGGGAAGCGUGAUUUAUUGUUGGUGGGCAGAGAGAAAAAAGUUUCAGCCGCGGCCUCCUCCCCGGCGGCCCAGGACCCCCUGUUGCAACGUGCGAAAUGGCGGCCUCGGCCCCCACCUUUGCUCGCAUGCCCAGCCGAGUAGGCCGCGGUCAGCGCCGGCUUCCACGCCAGUGUGGGGCUUGAUGCUGUCGCGAAGAGUUCGUCUCUGUCAGCCUGGCAGGGGGUGCUACGCAGGGUCGGGGUACGGGGGACAGGGAGAUUAAAUAGCUUGACCAGACGCUAUAACCUGUACUGCAUCUCCCAGAGCUGUGGGACCUGCAAAUCUGCGCUGGUCAUACAUUU